GACGAAUGCUGGCGGCGUGCUUAACACAUGCAAGUCGAACGAUGAAGCCCAGCUUGCUGGGUGGAAGAGUGGCGAACGGGUGAGUAACACGUGAGUAACCUGCCCCUGACUCUGGGAUAAGCGCUGGAAACGGCGUCUAAUACUGGAUAUGAGCACUGGUCGCAUGGCCUGGUGUUGGAAAGAUUUAUCGGUUGGGGAUGGACUCGCGGCCUAUCAGCUUGUUGGUGAGGUAAUGGCUCACCAAGGCGGCGACGGGUAGCCGGCCUGAGAGGGUGACCGGCCACACUGGGACUGAGACACGGCCCAGACUCCUACGGGAGGCAGCAGUGGGGAAUAUUGCACAAUGGGCGCAAGCCUGAUGCAGCAACGCCGCGUGAGGGAUGACGGCCUUCGGGUUGUAAACCUCUUUUAGUAGGGAAGAAGCGAAAGUGACGGUACCUGCAGAAAAAGCACCGGCUAACUACGUGCCAGCCGCCGCAGUAAUAC
rnacentral:rRNA from 1 species